CAGAAACAAAGCUCCAAAUUUGGAAGGAACAGUGGAACUCCACAGCCCAGGUGGUGAAAGGCAGAGGAAAGAGAAGCAUAGCAAAAACAGAACACAACAUGCCCACCUGGAAGGCAUGAAACAGGACGACAGAAAUAAAGGUUACUACAAGCUGUUGAAUAUCAGUCCCUGUGCUAUACGGUCUGCUGGCUCACCUUGCGGGCAGGAGUUGA